rnacentral:misc_RNA from 1 species
CGAGCGCAUGAGUUGUGCUGGACCUGUGACUACCGGUUGAACCCCCGCUGUUGUGCGGCCGACUGCCGGUGCCUGUGUCCCCUCAAUCGUUGGCUAUUGUGUCCAUAUCGUUUCGACGAGUGCUUGCAUGCUGCUACCAGUAACACUGGAAGUUGCAUGGCUAAAUGUUGGUUUUGCCGUGCAUGGCCUUCGGUCAUGUCACGUCAACUAUAAACGUUCAUGUCGUUGCCUCAUGUAGCUGGUCGCAUAGGCUAGCAGCAUCAAGGCCGCCUCAUGGUCGCUAUUGGUCUCGGAUGUGGCUAACUUUGAAGGCUGAAGGUGCUUUGGGCACCACAUGCCUACAAUAGUCCGAUUGGAAACAACGACAGUAGGCCUGGCCGAUGCCUCGUGCGGAAGCUAGUGCU